AGUGAACGCUGGCGGUAGGCCUAACACAUGCCAGUCGAACGGCCGCACAGUAAGAUCUUGCUCUUACGGGUGGCGAGUGGCGGACGGGUGAGGAAUACAUCGGAAUCUACUUUUUCGUGGGGGAUAACGUAGGGAAACUUACGCUAAUACCUCAUACGACCUACGGGUGAAAGCAGGGGAUCUUCGGACCUUUCGCGAUUGAAUGAGCCGAUGUCGGAUUAGCUAGUUGGCGGGGUAAAGGCCCACCAAGGCGACGAUCCGUAGCUGGUCUGAGAGGAUGAUCAGCCACACUGGAACUGAGACACGGUCCAGACUCCUACGGGAGGCAGCAGUGGGGAAUAUUGGACAAUGGGCGCAAGCCUGAUCCAGCCAUACCGCGUGGGUGAAGAAGGCCUUCGGGUUGUAAAGCCCUUUUGUUGGGAAAGAAAAGCAGCAGGUUAAUACCCCGCUGUUCUGACGGUACCCAAAGAAUAAGCACCGGCUAACUUCGUG
rnacentral:rRNA from 1 species